UUCUUCUUCCAGUUGACACCUCGGGCAGUUAGGGCUUGUGGAAGGGAAUCGUUGGUGCAGAAGGGAUAAGACCGGUAUCCGUUUGUGGAGGCAUUUCCAAAUGAAAAUUUGGACUUUGUGAGAACAUCGUUCCCUUCUAUUGGCUUAAUUGAUUGGAUUCUGCUUCUUACUUCAGGAGCAAUGCUCAUUGGAUAUGGAGGAGGUAGCCAAGGGUCAGCAAAUAUUCGAAUUGUAGAGCCGGAACCUACUCUCCAAUUGAGGCCUUUCUCAACAAUCUUUCUGCCCUCCAACAUACUUCGCCAUCCCCAC